rnacentral:rRNA from 1 species
CACACCGCCCGUCACACCAUGAGAGCCGGUAACACCCGAAGCCUGUGAGGUAACCGCAAGGAGCCAGCAGUCGAAGGUGGGAUUGGUGAUUGGGGUG